GACUUCUUGCUGCCCAAGGCUUGGUUCCUGGUCAGGAAGACUUCUCUACCCCCAGACAGGAGACCUGUGCAUGCCCACCCCAUGGCACAGCUGGGGUCAGGACCAGUGUCUGCUGCUGCAUGCCCUGUUCAUGGCCACUGGUGCACCCUGGACCGGCCUCAGAGGCGGGUCUGGCCAGGCUGGAUGGAGGGCGGGGCUGACAGCAGACCUGGGGCUGCCACACCCUUGGGGGAAGGGCUGCGGCGACGUGGGCGCCUCCCGUUGGCUGGGCCGACAGCCUCCCGCCUGGCUGCACAGGAUGUUUCUUUAAGGAGCUUUCCCGUGCACCUCCUGUGUGCAGCUGGACCCCGGGGCGGUGGCCGUUCCCUGGGCCAGGUGCUUGUCUGGGCUGGCUGGCCUGGCGGCUGCUCACGACUCCCAGUGCGUUGCAUCUGUGGAGCUUUCACCUACAAAAGGGGAAGGAGGUAGCCCGAGGAGCUGAGGCCUGGCCUUGCUCUGACCGGUGCCAGCAGCAGCACUUCCUGGAUGUGCCCACCGUUAUGACACUCAGGCCGAGUCAGGUCCAGACUCAAACCCAGGUGGAAAGGAGUGGGACCCCCUGCCAGGGCCGAAAGGCCCCAGAGAGGAGCCUGUGGGUGGGCUCCCCUUGCCCUCUGCAGAGGCUUAAGGCCCCUGGGGGCAUGAGGAUGGGGUUCCCAAGCCAGCCUGGUGUUUAUCAGCUGUCCCAGCUGACCUCCCCCCACCCCAUGGCCCUGUUGCACCACGCGCCCCAGGCCAGGCCAGUUCCUCUUCCAGAAGUCCCAGCCAUUCUCAGGGUGAGCUGCCCUCCUAGACACCGUACGGAGAGCUCCUUCCUGUUCACAGGCUCCCCACUGGUGCAGGAAGUCACCACCCAGCCAUGGAUGGGGAGGAGCAGCAGCCAGCGCAUGAGGCCGAUGUGGAACCUGUUGUGCCGUCGGAGGCUUCAGAGCCGGUGCCCAGGGUGCUUUCUGGAGACCCCCAGAACCUGUGUACGUCUCCCUCAGGGCCCUGGCACGUUCCCUGGUGUUGGGCUAUUGAGUCAGGGAGAAGCGGGUGGAGGCCGACCGCUGUCAUGGGCUUUGAGUCUGUGGCCGAGACCUGGGGUGGGUGCUGCUAGGCCCAGUGCCCCAGAGGACAGACCUGACCCCCACAGCAGCUGCUCCUGGGCCCUGUGUGGCAGCAGAGCCUCUUGGAAGGGCUGCCAGCAGCACAAGCCAGCCUUGGGCAUAGGGGGCUCUUGAGCAUAAGGAGUGUGAGAAGUGUGAGAGCCCCUCCUGUGGCGGGGACACGGGCUUUCCCUCCUCAGAGCCCCUCCCCUCGCUGAGCCCCCUGGGGCGCCCGCCACUCCACUGUCUACCAUGCGGUGUGUCACCUACAGCAGCCCCUAAGCUCGCCCUCAUGGUGUGGAUGGGGCACAGGCUUCUCAAAGGCGUCCAGCUCA